rnacentral:rRNA from 1 species
UACGUAGGGCGCAAGCGUUGUCCGGAAUUAUUGGGCGUAAAGAGCUCGUAGGCGGCCUGUUGCGUCCGCUGUGAAAUCCCGGGGCUCAACCCCGGGCCUGCAGUGGAUACGGGCUGGCUAGAGGCAGGCAGGGGAGAACGGAAUUCCCGGUGUAGUGGUGAAAUGCGUAGAUAUCGGGAGGAACACCAGUGGCGAAGGCGACUUCUUGGCCUGUUCUUGACGCUGAGGCGCGAAAGCUGGGGGAGCAAACGGG